rnacentral:lncRNA from 1 species
CUUUGUCUUAAAAUUGAGAAUGGAAAUGGGGAAUGUGUCAAAGAGACAACAACCCGACCAAAUGAAAAACAACAGCAGAGGGUCACCAACAGGUCUUCAAUGUAGCGAGAAAUUCCCGCACCCGGAGGCGUCCUUCAGCUGGCCCCUAAACAAAUAUAUACUAGUCCAGUGAUAAUGAACGCCAUACUAAUUUCCAAAUUGUACACAAGAAACUAAAAUUAAAAUAAUACAAGACUAACAAAGGCCAGAGGCUCCUGACUUGGGACAGGCGCAAAAAUGCGGCGGGGUUAAACAUGUUUGUGAGAUCUCAACCCUCCCCCUAUACCUCUAACCAAUGUAGAAAAGUAAACGCAUAACAAUACGCACAUUAAAAUUCAGUU